ACCUCCCUCACCUAUCUGCCAGGCAGGGGAGCAGCUCUGGUCCAGAGCACAGCUCCAGGAUGAGCACCAGGUGCCGUGGGCUGAGGGGAUGAUCUUGGCCGCCAGGAUGCGUCCGCUGCCCUUCUCCCGGCACUGCCGCACCACACUGAAGCGGCCCCUGGGCAAGGGGAUGCAUCGGCCAAGCUGGUGAGGCCCCUCCCUAUGCAGCCCUUCCCACACAAAGCAGCAGACGCACACAUGUGGCGGCAGGGAGAGCACUCAGCAACGAGGUGGCGGAACCUUCCAGGGGUGGGAUCAGUGGCUAUGGAGGCGCAGAUGCAUUUGGGAGAUGCUCUGAACCAGAUGCGGGUGGGGGUGAGCAUGGAGAGGGAGGCUGAGGCUGGGGUGGGUGCCUGAGGGCUCGGCCCAACGAUGUCCCUGACCACCUGCCCACAGCCUCGCACCUCCGAAUCUGUGUCUGGAAGGCGAAGGUCUGUGUGCUUGAGAGGGGCUGGGCUGGCAGUGCGUGGCCACUCUCCUCAUAGGCUGUGGAAAGAGCAGCAGGGUGACCGAGAGGCCGGGGAGGGGGCACACCCCGGCUAGCCCCAGCUCCCUCCACCUAUCCUCCCAUCACUCCUGCCAGACCUCUGACAAGGGGCCCCCUUUGAACUCACUGAAUGCACACUCAGACCCCUCAGGCCAUGGGGGGCAUAGUAGGCAGAAAAAGCAUGAGGGUGUGUGCGUGAAGGUGGUGAAGUCCAGGAGUGGGGACACCCCACUUGCCUGGGACCACAGAUAACAUGCACACAGACCACACUUCCUGGACCCACAGCAGGCAUUAAUAACCAAAGCGCUGAGCCCAGACAACCCAAGUCCUCGGCACAGCACUGGGGAGGCCCUCCCAGGGCUCAGUGUGAACCUCAGGAUGAACUCAUUUGCUCCUGGGGCAGGGUGUGGAAGAAGGAGGCUGGGCAGUGAGGGGCCCCAAAAUGUGCGGCCCAAACUGAGGCCAACAGGGGUUUUCUCCAAAAGGCGAAGGCAAGGAGCUGUGAGGAGGCCACAGCAGGAGCCUUACCCAUGUGGCUGGGCCCUCCAAGGAUGACCUGCUCCGAGGGGCGGCUGUAGGGGCCCAUGCCCGCCUUGCUGACACAGGCCGUCCGGAAGGUGUAUGAGCCGGCCCGCGGGAGCUUGCUAGUUAGGUAGCAGCAGUCAAAGAUGUCAGAAGCCAGAGUGCUCCAGCUCCCACCUGGGCCGCAAGGGACAGAGGAGGGAGGGAGGGAGUGAGAGGCUUCCCCACUGAAGGCGUGGAGAGAGCAGCCACCCACUGGCACUCAGCAAGCGGGGUGCCUCCAUGACCACCCCCUCUGGAACCUGGAGGGCCCCCCAGAGCUGGCCCAGCAGAUACCUUCCAGGCAGCACUGAACGAUGUAGGUCACAGGGCCACAAGUCUCCACGGGCUUCCAGACCAGCAGCACCCCAUCUGCAUACACCUCCCCAAUGUCCGGGCGUGGGGAGGACGAGGGGAGCUCUGUAGGGGCGGGGGCGGUAGGCAAGCAGCUCUGAGGCUAGAAUGACCUCAAAUGGCUGCCUGAUGCACCUGUCAGCCCCCGUCACACCUCCCCUAGUGGGCCUUCCCCUCCCUCCCCACACCCACCCUCAGCUGCUGCCCAGGCUCCUGAGCCCACUCUCCCCUGCUCCUGGUCAUUUGGGGGGUCCUGCUGCAGUGUGGGCUGGCCAGAGGGCCCAGUGUCUCUUGAGGUCUGGCUCAGGGCUGUGUCCUGGCUGGGGGCUCUGGAAGGUCAGCCCAGGAGCCCCCAUGGCAGUGAUCCUCCAUCAGAAUGGAGGGCCUGGCCCGGUCCUGCAGACAGGGUACCGGGAGGCCAGUCAAGGCUGCUGCCCUCCUCUAGGGUUGGGCCAGGUGGCUGAGGGCUGGGCCCGCAGCCCUGUCCUGGCUCCCCCGAAACACUUCCUGGGAACUGUGUUUAGGGAGCCUCAACUUUGAUAGAGGAGCAAAGGAUGCAACAGCCUUCUCUGCACUUGCCGGUGGGAUGUGGCUGAGAAGGCACCAUGGGAAGAACAGGGCUUGGAAGAGCUCGACUGUCUUCAACUAAUGGCUGCACUUUCUCUUGGGACUAUGGUAUGAACUGACAGGCUUUGUCCCCAGUGCUUUACGUGGAACCAGCCCUGUCUCUGUCCUGUCUGUCUUACCCUCUUUCUCCUCUCUGCCUGUCCCUCCCUCUCUCUCCUUUCUAUGGCUCUCUCUCGCCCUGUGUCUCUUUGCUCUCUGUGACCCUCCUCUGUCUUCUCUCUUCCCUCUUCCAAGCACGCUGCUGCAGCCACAAACAAGUUCAGGGCCACGCUGACAGCUCAGUGCAAUCCACUUUGAAAACUUCCUUCUGCUUGUCCCCCAACUCUCCCCACCCCAGCUCCAUCUCACUCCCAGUGUGCAUUUUCCUAUCUGCACAUUUUUUUCAUCUCCCUCUCUUUGCUGUAUGAGUGUCUUUUAAGUGGCUCUAUAUCACAUGGGCAGUGUGAGGACAAACAGGGUUCUGGGCAAGAGGGGGUCACGGAGAGGGCCCAACGCCCUGGUGGGGCCGCCUGCCAGAGCCAUCCCCAGGCCAUGACAGCCAGUGUGUGAUCCUCUGGCCCUGUCAGAACUAGGGGAUGCCUGGGGUCACCACACUGGGGACCACGGUUUCCAAGGCCCCACUCGCCAUAAGAACCAGCUUAAGAGGCUCACAGAGUGAGACAGGGUCCCAGGCAGAGUCUUCAAAGAGGAGGCAGUGGCGUGGCUGUCCUCCCCCCUGCCCACCAAGAGGGCCCACAUGGUGUACCCACCUGCCCUCCGGAGCAUCCCCGUGGUGGCUGCUGUGCCCAGCGCAUUGCUCACACUGCAGGUGUACACACCCAGGUCCUCGGCGGUCACCACCAGGAUGGUCAAAAGCUGGAAGUGCUUGAGCGUGGAGGAGAUGAGAAUUCGGCUGCUGCUCUCCAGGACUGCCCCGUCUGCCGAAAGACACAUCAGGGCCUGCGCCUGGGCAGCUGCCCCCCCACACACCCAGCCACACAGCCGAGCAGGGGCUCAGGCUAGGGCCUGGGCAGGAGGAAGUCCUGGCCAGCCACCUGCCGUCCCACCGGGCCCAUGCUCGGCCUGUGACUUGCUCCCUUCCGGACAGCUGUUACCUUUACUCCAGGUGGCCUUUGCAACAGGCUGGGCUGACACCUGGCAGGCGAGCGUCACGGGCUGGCCCAGGACCACCGUUUCAUCUGAGAGCUCCUUUAGGAAUGAUGGGGCUGAAAAGGGAGAGUGAGAAAAGCAGUUCAGGUGAUGCCCUCUCAAGAUGCAGUGUGCUCAAAGCCAGGCCAGAGCGUGGCUGGACCCUGCAGUGCGGAGGAUACCCUGGAGCACAGAACCUGUGGGGAUCCUGCCCCUCCCAGCUCAACCUCCACCACACUCUUGUCCACCUCCUCCGGGGAGCCCUUCCUGACUGUCCCACCCCCUCUCGGCUCAUCUUCCACCACACUCUUGUCCAGAAUUUGUCUAAACACCUCCACCUCCUCCGGGGAGCCCUUCCUGACUGUCCCACCCCCUCUCGGCUCAUCUUCCACCACACUCUUGUCCAGCAUUCAUCUCUCAACACCUCUACCUCCUCCAGGGAGCUCUUACUGACUGCUCCAGCCCUCUACGCUGUGGCUCCUAAGGCCCUCAUGGCUGCUGCCACUCAUUUGGGGUCUAGGCUGGGGUUGUAAGCUUGUCCAACUGAUGUGGGUGCCAUGGAAGUUGGAGGCCGCUGCUCCGCGCGCCCCCCGCCGCAACCCCACACACAACCAGAUCCUCUUGAAACUGCGAGAAGACUAAGGCCCCAGAAUCGGGUACUCACCUCGGUCCUUGCUUUUCAGCCGGAAGGAAGCCAGGCCCAGCUUCUUCCUGGAGAGACCCUCCUUCUCUGGAUCUGCAGGGAGAAAGAGGGGGCCCACGGAUGUCAUAGCCCAUGAGGCCAUGGCUCCUCUGGGCAGCAUUGGCUGCCUCAGGCUGCCCUGACAAGAGCUGUGGGGACAGGCAGACCUGCCUGCCCCACAGCCCUGCCUUUUGCGCCUCAGGUUUCCACGCAACAAGCGAAAGGCCAAGGUCCCAGGGUGGUGUUGAGAACUGGAGCUAAGUCUGUUGCUGCUGCUCCCUCCCCCCUCCACACCUGGGCGCCAGGGCCCAUCCCGGGCUAGGUCCACCCGUGGGGACAAACAGGAGGCCUGCAGCUCAGAGCCAUGGGGGCCGUGGGGGCACAGGCAGUCGGGGCUGGACAGAGACCCUGCUGGAGUACUCUGGCUGCAGGCAGCUGGUGUCGGUUCUGAGUUUUUCUCUCCAGCAGUAUAAUCCCUACUUGGGUCCCUUGGCCCCCCCGCAGUGCUGCUACAACCCAGGGCUGAGUCUCAGAAGCACGGGGGAAAAAGGGCUCUGAGGCUGGGAGGUGCACCCAGAUGCCUAGGGGGGCGAGCCCAGAGGAGGCUUUCUGAUGGCACUGGGCAGGAUCCUGAGCUGUUGUCAUGGGGGAGAGGUCAAGGUGACCCCCGGGAGUGCAGUACGGGGGACAUCUGGACAUGCCCAGAAAGGUUGGAGGGAGUCACCUUCCGCCCUGCCCGUCAGGAUCCGGGAGAUGUGGGCCACUGAAGCCUUCACCCUCUUGCGCAGGCUGUGCUCCUGGGACUCCUCCAGCGCCAGGCAGCCCCCGGAGAGCUGGAAGAAGCCUCGCGAGGAGGGUGACACCUUCCGCUUCCGGCCCAGGGCAGCUUCUCCCAGCAGGGCCUCCAUGUCCUCUGGCUCCUCCUCGGUGAUCUGCAGGCUACCUCUAGGACGGGUAGCCAGGCUGGCAGGAGGGCCUAGCUCCCCCAGCCAGGGCCACACCGCCUCUGGGAGCUCUGCCAGCCCCUCAUCUUCAUCCAGGGUGGAGGAUGGCUCCCGCUCCACGGGCGGCUUGGGGACCUUCCUGAAGAUCAUGAACUCAAAUGGGAGGUACUUGAUGUCAUACAGGUCAGAGAGGUUGAGGUAGGCAGGCUCCACCUCGGAGAUGUCUAGGGACAGCGUGUCAGCCGCCUCCGAGUCUCCUGAGAGGUCCUUGAUCUGUACCAGGGAGACCUGAGAGCCCUGGCCAAAGUCUUCCCAUGAGGACUGAGACCGCUGGACCCAGGCCAUCUUGGCCCACAUGGGGCCCUGCCCCAGCAUGCCUCCUGCAUCCCCACCAAAGGCGAAGGUGCCAUAGCCUGCCACCCCUGCGUAGCCCCCGUGGCACUCCAGGGAGAACUUCCGAGUGGUUGCCUGCUCCAGAGGCCGAUGCUGAGCAGUCUCCUGGGACAAGUCCUCAUCAUCCGGACAGGCUGCCAGCUCUGUAUUCACUGGGGCAGGUGGCACAGCCUCCUGGGGGGACAGGUCCUUGCAGAAGGCCUGCCCUAUAGAACAGGAGGGGCUGGGCUCUGCCCCCUGCUUAGAGCCUGACAGGGGGCUUGCUUGGGCCUGGGACGGGGAGUCCUGAGGCUGUCCAGAGAGGAACGGGCUUCCGGGUAUCUGGAAGCCCUCUGCAUGAGAUCCUGGAGGGAAGGAGCCUGGAAGUUGUGGUGCAGCAGCCGCAGGGGGUCCACAGCCUUCCUGGGGGGCAGAACCCCAGUCACAGUGAAGAGAAACGGUAGGCUGCUUCUGAGAGCUAUCCUGGGAAACUGUUGGACCUGUGUUUCCAUCUGUGGAUGGAAGCAGUUUCGACCCUUGCACGGACCCCUCUUCAGAGCCUGGGGCUGCCUGGGCAGAGGACAUGGUGCCCAGGGCCCAGGCCCCAGUGUGCAGAGUGGCUGUGGGUUCCCUAAGCAGAAAGGGGCUUGGGCCCUGCACAGAGCUGUCCUGUGAGACCUCCCCGAGCCCCCAGGGAGCUGGGUGGGGACACUGCCCCUCAAAGUAGUCCUUGGGUGACUUCCCCGGCUCCUCAGGGGACUUCCUCGGCUCCUCGGAAAAGGGGCUGGUGGUGCGUGGCUGGUCCUGGUCCAGGGAGCGGCUUCGGCCGGGCACCACUCGGGCAGUUGAGCUGGGGAGCCUCAGGGCGGUCUCACAAGAGGGCACCUUGGUCAUGAGGGUGACCUGCUCCUCCCUGGCAGUCUGCUCCUCCCUGGCAGCCUGCUCCUCCAGGGCUCGGUGCUCCAUCAGGGGCUCACGCAGGCCAGGCAGCACCCUUGCAAUGUAGCCACCCUUCAGUAGGUGCUGCCUGGCCCGCGCCAGGUGCUUCCUGCUGCCUGGGGCCGAGGGUGGGCACCCACGUUCUGAGCCUUCCCCGGCCUGCUGGUAGAACAGGCUCCGGAUGAUGCUCUGGCGGGGCACACAGCCUGGGACGGCCAGUGGGCCUGCACCCGGGACCCCAGCGGCCACCUCUUGGCUCUCCAGGGACACAGACAAGGCAAGGGGACCAUCUGAGUGGGCACACACGAAGGCCCGGUUCCUGUCUCCCAACUCUGCGGUGCAGUCAGACUGAUCUGACCCACCUACACAUGCGUGCCCUCCUUGGACAGUGGACACGGCCGGGGUUGGCCCGACUCACCCCCGAGGACC